AGAUCAGUGAGGAGGGAGGUGAGAGCUGCAUUCCUGCCCUGUGGAGUUGAGGUCCACGGGAGGAAAGAUCUGCUGCUCGAUUGGUUCCCAAAGCCUACAAAUGACUGGCAGUUGAACAUAUAAUGAAAUCAAGGGGAUGAAUCCAUCUGAAGUCCCUAACGCUGUGCCAAAACCACAGUGAAACAGAGUCACAUGAGAUGGAAUGAACAUCGAGGCCUCGUCACAGGCCACAAUGACUCAGACUUAGAGGACCAACUUACUUCCACACUCACCAAUUUACCCACCCGCUAGCUCUGAGACAAACACUCGUUCUUCUCCAUACUCAAAACUAUUUCUGCACAUUCUGAGAACUUGGUUUACUGCAUCUCAAAAGUGCCACAUGUUGUAUAGCAGAAGAAAGUGAAUCUUGUUUUUGAUGAGGAUACAGGUUUAUCCCGUUCCCACACGUGAAGAGCGAGAACAACAUGAAUGAGGUAUUGGUACAGAGCCAAUAUUGGUCCUUUUUAAGCUCUUAAAGGGAAAAAAUAGCCCUUGUGGUCAACCGAAUCGCAAAUAUUUACCUGGCGUGGUUUACUCUAUUCUUUGGUGGCAAAUGCAGUAGUUUUUUCCAAUAACAUCGUCAAAUUUGAGAGAUAACCUUUCAUAAUAAAAAAAACAGCAAACUGGACAAAUCUGAGGAAAUCUAACAGCAUCCCAGACCGUUAAUUGGCAAUACAACUCGACUCUGCUGCUUGGUAGCUUAAGCAAUGGUAAACUUUUAGAAAAAAAAAAUAUUCGGCUGUCCACGUAGGAGAACCAUUUUUGGUUCCCAUGUGGAAAGGGUUCUACAUAGAACCCAAAAAGGUUACACCGGGAAACAAAAAGGGUUCUUCAAAGGGUUUUCCUAUGGCAACAGCCGAAGAACCCUUUUAAGUUCUACCAUAGCAAUUUGUUUUCUAAGAGUGUACCAUAAAUCAUGUUGUCACAAAGCUGAUUGGUGGAACAAGGGUCAGUGUGACAGAGUUUUACUGAAGUCAUCACAAUUCUUUGGUGACAAAUGAAGCCUUGUUUAUUUCCAUUUGCUAUUAACAAUAAGACACACCUCUAAAUCCUCAAAAUUGAUAGAGAACGUUUUCAUAACACAAUGAAAUAGGACACACUUGAGGAGUAAUUGGUUAUACAACACAGGGCAUCUGAUUGGUAGAUUUAUCUGUAGCGUCAUAAAUAAAAAAAUAAAAACAUCAUCUGAUUGGUGGAAUAACGGCCAGUGCGAGUCCCUGGUUUACAGCCUUACCCCUAGGCGUGCGUUGUGCCAAGAGACGGGACUGACUUAUGGAGCUGUCUUUGAUUGGGCAAGUCUCUGAGCUGGUGAAACGGGUUAUACUGUCCCACAGCAGGGGCAGAACCCAUCACAGAGUUUUACUUUGAAGUCGGGGUGGGGCACAGGCAGGGACGAGGCCCCACAUGACACAAAAUCCACAGGACAACAAUUAAUGACCUGUCAAAAUGUCUCAGUGAUAUAAGUUCCAGAGUACUCAACCAAAACAAUGAUGAAACCAUGCAGGUUUACUACAUUAUUCCAAUGGAAAAGUUCACAAGUUUACAGAGAAUAUUUUCUUCAUGUCAUGUGUCCCAAUCGCAUUCCUUGUCAUACUAUUGCAAAUAAGGAACUCUAUGACUGAGUUAAAAUAGCUGUAAUGACCUAUACUCCACUGAACCACUUAGUGAAUAGUGGGGGUGCAGCAGAGGUUUCAUACAGGUCAUCAGACACAGACACACACAGACAAACAUGCACAAGCACAAACCGCUGACCUUUACGCUGGUAAUGUUUUCUCUCAGUGAAAAAAAAUCCAUAAAAAAAUUGUCAGCAUUACUGGAAAGAAUUACUGUACUAAUACUCCAGUGACUUGAAAUUUGAAGCCAACCUGUUCACAUAGAUUCUUGUCUCAAGGCCCCUUACAUAAGGCAACAAAUGAUUGCAUGGAAAUGUUGAAUAGUAAGGUCAGGUGAAAUAAUUACUAAAGUUCUGUCUUUUUGUUGGGUGACUGUGGAUUAUUCCAUGUUCUGUCUUUGUCUGUUGUCUAUUCAGAGAUCCCACACCCUACUUUAAAUAGUCCCACCCAGUUACCGAUAUUUAGAAAACUGGAAAGACAAGCUUAGCUUACCGUAGAUCUUGCAUUCCUAGACAGAGAAACAGUGUGUAUAAAUAAUGCCAAAAUAUUAUACAAAACAUCAACAACCUCUUUCCGUGACAGACUGACUAGGGGAAUCCAGGUGAAAGCUAUGAUCCCUUAUUGAUGUCACAUGUUUAAUCCACUUCAAUCAGUUUAAAUGAAGGGGACGGGACAGUUUCAAGACGGAUUUUUAAGCUUUGGGGCAUUUGAGACAUGGAUUGUGUAUGUGUGCCAUUCAGAGGGUGAAGGGACAAGACAAAAGAUUGAA